GGGAUGUGGCUCAAUCGGUAAGGCGCUGGCCUGGCAUGCGUGGGAAGCUGGGUUCAAUCCUCAGCCCCA
rnacentral:tRNA from 1 species